rnacentral:rRNA from 1 species
GAUUGAGAGUUUGAUCCUGGCUCAGGAUGAACGCUAGCGGCAGGCUUAAUACAUGCAAGUCGGACGGCAGCACGGGUAGCAAUACCUGGUGGCGAGUGGCGCACGGGUGCGUAACGCGUAUGCAACCUACCCUUAACUGAGACAUAACCUGGCGAAAGCUGGGCUAAUAUCUCAUGAGGUUAUAGAGGGGCAUCCUGAUAUAAUCAAAGCAGCGAUGUGGUUAAGGAUGGGCAUGCGUCCCAUUAGCUAGUUGGCGAGGUAACGGCUCACCAAGGCGACGAUGGGUAGGGGUUCUGAGAGGAAGGUCCCCCACACUGGUACUGAGACACGGACCAGACUCCUACGGGAGGCAGCAGUAAGGAAUAUUGGGCAAUGGUCGGAAGACUGACCCAGCCAUGCCGCGUGCAGGAAGAAGGCCCUAUGGGUUGUAAACUGCUUUAGCCAGGGGCUAAACCUACCGAUGCGUUGGUAGCUGAAGGUACCUGGAGAAUAAGCAUCGGCUAACUCCGUGCCAGCAGCCGCGGUAAUACGGAGGAUGCGAGCGUUAUCCGGAUUUACUGGGUUUAAAGGGUGCGCAGGCGGUUGUUUAAGUCAGGGGUGAAAGCCCUAUGCUCAACAUAGGGAUUGCCUUUGAUACUGAACGGCUAGAGUGAAGAUGGAGUGGGUGGAAUGUGUUGUGGUACCGGUGAAAUGCUUAGAUUUAACACAGAACACCGAUCGCGAAGGCAGCUCACUAAUUUUCAACUGACGCUCAGGCACGAAAGCGUGGGGAUCAAACAGGAUUAGAUACCCUGGUAGUCCACGCUGUAAACGAUGAUCACUAGCUGUUGGUACGCUGAAGUAUCAGUGGCUAAGCGAAAGUGAUAAGUGAUCCACCUGGGGAGUACGACCGCAAGGUUGAAACUCAAGGGAAUUGACGGGGGCCCGCAC